GACGAACGCUGGCGGCGUGCUUAACACAUGCAAGUCGAACGGAAAGGCCCUGCUUUUGUGGGGUGCUCGAGUGGCGAACGGGUGAGUAACACGUGAGUAACCUGCCCUUGACUUUGGGAUAACUUCAGGAAACUGGGGCUAUACCGGAUAGGAGCUCCUGCUGCAUGGUGGGGGUUGGAAAGUUUCGGCGGUUGGGGAUGGACUCGCGGCUUAUCAGCUUGUUGGUGGGGUAGUGGCUUACCAAGGCUUUGACGGGUAGCAGGCCUGAGAGGGUGACCGGCCACAUUGGGACUGAGAUACGGCCCAGACUCCUACGGGAGGCAGCAGUGGGGAAUAUUGCACAAUGGGCGGAAGCCUGAUGCAGCAAAGCCGCGUGCGGGAUGACGGCCUUCGGGUUGUAAACCGAUUUCGCAUGUGACGAAGCGUGAGUGACGGUAAUGGGUAAAGAAGCACCGGCUAACUACGUG
rnacentral:rRNA from 1 species